UACGGGGGGGGCAAGCGUUGUUCGGAAUUACUGGGCGUAAAGGGCUCGUAGGCGGCCAACUAAGUCGGAUGUGAAAUCCCCAGGCUCAACCUGGGAACUGCAUCCGAUACUGGAUGGCUUGAAUUCGGGAGAGGGAUGCAGAAUCCCAGGUGUAGCGGUGAAAUGCGUAGAUAUCUGGAGGAAUACCGGUGGCGAAGGCGGCUCACUGGACCGGUACUGACGCUGAGGCGCGAAAGCGUGGGGAGCGAACAGG
rnacentral:rRNA from 1 species